rnacentral:sRNA from 1 species
AUCGUCCAUGAAAACCUUCACCAUCUCCUCGAUUAAGUCUAAAAAUAUAGAGGUCAUACACCUCUGAAAUGUUGCAGGAGCAUUGCAUAAACCAAAUGGCAUUCUCUUAUAAGCAAAAGUUCCAUAAGGACACGUGAAAGUGGUUUUUUCUUGAUCAUUAGGGUGAAUUGGUAUUUGAAAGAAACCACUGUAUCCAUCAAGAAAGCAAUAAUAUGGAUGAUUAGCCAAACGUUCAAGCAUUUGGUCAAUGAAUGGUAAAGGAAAAUGAUCUUUCCUAGAUGCAACAUUCAACUUCCUAUAAUCAAUGCACAUUCUAUGACCAGUUCUAGUUCUAGUAGGGAUCAGUUCAUCUUUUUCAUUUUUGACAACAGUCAUUCCACCCUUUUUAGGGACGCAAUGCACUGGAGAAACCCAAGUACUAUCAGAGAUAGGGUAGAUGACACCAGCAUCAAGCAGUUUCAAAAUUUCUUUUUUCACUACUUCUUUCAAAUUGGGAUUUAACCUCCUCUGUGGUUCAAUGCUAGAAUAUGAUUCGUUUUCAAGAUGGAUCCUAUGGUUGCAUAAACUAGGUGAAAUUCCCUUAAUGUCGGAUAAUGAAUAACCAAUCGCUCUCCUAUACUUUCUAAGCUCAGAUAAUAGCAGGUUCACUUCAUCACUAUUUAACUCAGCAUUAAUGAUCAUAGGGUAAGUAGAGUUUAGACCAAGCAAUGCGUACCUUAGACCUUUUGGAAGUGGUUUGAGAUCAACCUUCGGUGCCUUAAGUUCAGAACAGUCAUCUGAAGUUGGAAUGAUCGGCUCCCCAGAUUCGUUGGUAGACAAGGUCGAGUGGCUGGUCGAGUACGUCCUCGAGAGUGCAGGUUGAACUCGAGUUGACCCUUCUUCGCUCAUUACCAUUACCUCCGUUGCUGGUCCAUUCAAUUCCUCAAAGGGUUCUGAUUCUUCCAUCACUUUAUGGGAGUCUAACAGCUUCUGGUUUCCCAAUGUUUUCAAAUGCAGAAACCCAUCUUCACCACUUUUGGUUAAAGCACUGUUAAGAUGAUCUUCUUCUGCCAGCUCUUCCAGUAACUCAUCAGCUAACUGAUCCAUUUCUUCGAUCCAAAAGAGUUGCCCUUCUAUGGUAGGCUUCUUCAUCGCGUCUUUGACAUCAAAGGUCAUCCUAAAGUCUUUGCCAAGGUCUAGAUCAAUCUUCCCUUUCUUGACAUCAAUCAUAGCUCCUACAGUGGCUAAGAAAGGUCUCCCUAGAAUCAAAGGGUCCUUGGGCUCUUCAUCCAUCUCCAGGACUACAAAGUCAGUUGGUAUCUCCACAGCACCGAUCCUGAUUGGGAGGUUUUCGAGCAAACCAUGAGGGAUCCUUACUGAUCUGUCAGCUAGGAUGAGGGAUAUAUUGCAGGACUUGUAUUGAGUGAACCCCAAUCUUUUGGCGACAGAGAGUGGCAUGAGACUGACUGAUGCUCCUAAAUCGCAUAGGCAUCUAUUGAAAGCCAAUGGACCUAAAGAGCAUGGUAGAGUGAAUGAACCAGGAUCACUAAGCUUCUUAGCAAUGAUCUUCUUCUGUAUGAUAGCGCUGCAUUCAUGACUCAAUACCACCAUCCCUUGCACUUCUUGAAUUCUUUCCACGAUCAAGUCUUUCAGAAACUUGUGAGAGUCUGGGAUUAGCGCUAGAGCGUCAACAAGAGGUAUCCGUAACUCAACCUCCUUAAUAUUCUUGGCGAACAUAGCUCUAUAUUUAUCUGCCAACGCUUUCUUGUGACGGCCAGGAAAUGGAAGUUGUGGUUUGUAGGGAGGAGGGACAAAGACCUUUUCUUUGUUUUUGACAGCAACUGGUUUUGGAGCAAUUGGUGAUGUUGUUGGGAUGACAGGUCGAGUGGUUGGUCGAGUAACGCUGUCGAGUGGCAGAUCGAGUGGUUGCUCGAGUGACAGGUCGAGUGGUUGCUCGAGUGACAGGUCGAGUGGUUGCUCGAAUGACAGGUUGAGUGGUUGCUUGAAACUUAAAUCCUCCCCAUCUUGAUCUUCACUGUCCUCAAUGACCGUCUUUGGUUCCUCCCUAGUUGGAAGUGCUUUACCACUACGCAGUGUGAUAGCAUGAGCAUAUUCUUUUGGAUUCUGAAUUGCUUUGCCUGGUAGUUGGGUUGUCUGUUUUGGAGGUGAAGAAGAUGCAGAAUGUCCCUCUAAGUAACGGACUUUGGUAUUCAGUGUUUCCAUCUUGACAUUGAGAUCAUUGUAGCUACAGUCCAGCUUUUUAUGUAACUCAGAUAUCUUCUUUGCUAUCUCCAUGGAGCCAGAGGCUUGCCCGUGAAGCAGCUGUCGUAGCAUUUGUUUCAUAUCAGCCUCAGGAGCAGCAGGACCUUGGUGGUGAUUGAGUCAUGGGGCAUAUUCUUCUCCCAGAUGUGUGCUUUGUCGCCCAAGGAGAAUGGGAACAAACGGAGCUUGAAUCCGUCUUCACUGACACCAUUGAUCUUCGUUAGGUUGUAGAGCCUGUCGAAUUCAUCAAGGUGGUCGAGUGGAUCCUCCAUUGGCAGACCAUGAAAUUUGUUCCCCUGAAUCAUCGAGAUGAGACCACUCUUAAUCUCGAAGUUGUUGUUCUGGAUAGCAGGAGGUGCAAUUCCCUUCCUCUGACGGUGAUCACAUGGUGCAUCUCCAGCACCAAUGUUGGCAGGGCCAUUUUGUUGAUUCUGUUCUUCAGCCAUUUCGAGUGGUUGCUGAGGUACAGGGUUGACUGUGGUUCUCCUUUUUCUGAGUUCGCGAGCUGUGCGGUUGAUGUUGUCGUUGAAAAGGAGGUUCUGAUUGCCUGUUGAUCGAGUUCGCAUACAGCAGAGGUGUACCUGGAUCAAGAAGACAACAAGAAAAACACACAGUUAGUAACUGAAAAGAAAAUUAACAAAGAACUUGAUCUAAGCAAGUCUGAAAUCUCAAAUGUAACAAACAAACACCCAAUUGGCAACGGCGCCAAAUUGAUAAUAGGUUUUUAGUCAAUUAUCCUAAAACACCAAUCAUAUCGUUGUAGUAUUUUAGGUUGUCAAUCCAAAUGGGUGUGAUGCUAACAAUCAAGAUGUGAUCAGAAGUCACUAAGUUAAGCCAAGCAAUAACAGGUUUUGGUGUGUUCUAGCAGUUCUAAGUGAACAUGCAGAAAACAGAAAAUCAAACAAAAACAGCAAAACACUCGACCAACACAGCUCUGUGUAGAGCACUGGAUGAGGUCGAGUGACAGGUCGAGUAACAGGCAGAAAGUAAAACAGGGAUACUCGACUGCACAGUCUGUUUCCAGACAACUGGGUGGUCGAGUAUCAGGUCGAGUAACAGGACAAAAAUGCAGAAACUAAGGAACAGAUGACCAGAUGCAGUAAUCAACAGUAGAAUAAACAAUAAAAUCAAUCAGAUAAAGAAUUCCUAAGGAUGGGGUAAUUGAGUAGUUUCGUUUCCUCAGUUUACAGGUGAUUGACAUGCUCAAUAAAUUAACCCUACACAACAAGUUCAUUAACCAAAUCUAAGUGCCACCGCAACAAAGACUCUCAAAUUAACCUAGUCCCAGACUCAAUCACCAUUGACGAGAGCUAACCUAACAGGCAUUACGAAUCAACAAGUUAAAGCCAAAACGCUCCCUGCAACCAAUACCUUGGUACAGGGUCACGAAUCUCUAGAAUUAGUGGUUCAGACAUUUCAUCGAACACCUUUUGGGCGCGGAAAUGUCUGGGCUCAAAUUCCAGUUGAUCAAAAAGCAAUAGGCAUUAAGAACAACUAAUCCAGAAGGGAUCUAUCAACCAAUACUCAGUCACCUAGCAUACUGAGAAUUCUACACUACUCUAACCCAUCCUCAGAAACCUAUUCACUACUCAGACAUCUUCCAGAUAGCUCGUCAACAGCUCCAAAUCACCUGAAAUCAACGCAAAUAUGCAACAUGCAUGCAAAACUAUCCUAAACAUGCAAAGUGAUGACAAAUGAUGUGAAAUGGUAUAAAACAGUGAUGAUAUAAUGCUAAAAUUACGACAAAUGGAUGCUCAAAACAUGCAAAAUACACUUAUC